GAUGAACGCUGGCGGCGUGCCUAAUACAUGCAAGUCGAGCGAACAGACGAGGAGCUUGCUCCUCUGACGUUAGCGGCGGACGGGUGAGUAACACGUGGAUAACCUACCUAUAAGACUGGGAUAACUUCGGGAAACCGGAGCUAAUACCGGAUAAUAUAUUGAACCGCAUGGUUCAAUAGUGAAAGACGGUUUUGCUGUCACUUAUAGAUGGAUCCGCGCCGCAUUAGCUAGUUGGUAAGGUAACGGCUUACCAAGGCAACGAUGCGUAGCCGACCUGAGAGGGUGGUCGGCCACACUGGAACUGAGACACGGUCCAGGGUCCUGCGGGAGGCAGCAGAAGGGAACCGGCCGCAGUGGGCGAAAGCUUGACGGAGCAACGCGGAGUGAGAGAUGAAGGUCUUCGGAUCGUAAAGAUCUGUUACGAGGGAAGAACAAAUGUGUAAGUAACUAUGCACGUCGUGACGGUAACUAAUCAGAAAGCCACGGCUAACUACGUG
rnacentral:rRNA from 1 species